CGCCUCGUAGCUCAGCAGGAUAGAGCGGCGGUUUCCUAAACCGCGUCUGCCGCGCGUUCGACUCGCGCCGGGGCGA
rnacentral:tRNA from 1 species